CGUACAGGUUUCCGUAGGUGAACCUGCGGANNNUCAUUAAUGAAUUGUUAGGACGCUCUUUUUAGAGGUCCGACCCCUUCAUUUCCUUACACUGUGCACACACUUCUUUUUCACACAUUUUAACACAUCAGUUUAAAGAAUGUAAAUAGUCUCUUAAUUGAGCAUAAAAUAAAUAAAACUUUCAGCAACGGAUCUCUUGGCUCUCGCAUCGAUGAAGAACGCAGCGAAUUGCGAUAAGUAAUGUGAAUUGCAGAAUUCAGUGAAUCAUCGAAUCUUUGAACGCACCUUGCACUCUUUGGUAUUCCGAAGAGUAUGUCUGUUUGAGUGUCAUGAAACUCUCAACCCCCUUGUUUUGUAAUGAAACGAGCGUGGGCUUGGAUUAUGGCUGUUUGUCGGCGUCAUUGCCGGCUCAGCUGAAAUACACGAGCAACCCAUUUGAAAUAGGCGGUUUGACUCGGGCGUAAUAAUUAUUUCGCUGAGGGACGUCUUCUUUAAAGUUGGUGGUGCUUCUAAUGCGCUUUUAAUUAAGCAUCUUAAGCUUUAGACCUCAAAUCAGUCAGGACUACCCGCUGAACUUAAGCAUAUCA
rnacentral:rRNA from 1 species